UUUCCCGCUUAAAUCAUAAUUACCUUCUUUUCCUUAAAAUCUGCCAAAAAUCUCUCAUUGUUCACCCCUCUUUCAUAAACCCUACCCUUCACCUUUAACCCUUUUCUUUACCAAACCUCUAGAUCUACUCCAUAUCUUCCGAUUUCAUAUUUUCAGAAGGCAAGAUUUGUGGUAGUGAAACUUAAUCACGGGCCGACUGAUGGGUAAAAUUUCUGAAGCAGCUUUGUGAUGCAAUUGGAUGCGUGGAUUUUUGUGAGUAAUAAGGGUUUUGUUGUUCUUCACAGAUUACAAGUGAAGAACCAAUACGAGAAUUCUCCGGUAAGCGGCGACUCUAUUUCGCUUCUGGUUAUGAGAUUGAACGAGGAAGAUGAUGCCUUCAAAAUAUUUAAAUAAUUAGUUUUUGGGUCUUAACCUCUUAUGGUCUUUCAUUUAACUAAAAGCAAAUACACCAUAUAACUACCCAUCUGUAUAUAAAAUAUUAAAUUUAAUAUUAAAGGAUUGCACAAGAAACUAUGAUCGGAGGGCAUAAUUAAUUUUAGGUUUUUUACUUAUUGUUUGUUAGCUUAUUUUAAGAAAUUGUAUAUACAGUUUGGUUCUCUUUUUUUUUUGUCAUUUUGUUAAAU